rnacentral:lncRNA from 1 species
UGAUGCAGUUGCCAAGUGACGUUUAUAAUAUUUUCUUGGUCGAUGAUUUGUAAUCACGAAGGAUUUUGCUUUAUAUUCUUUCCUUUCUUCUACCAAUUGUGAAAGCAAAUGUUAAAAUAUGUGAAGUCUUAUUUCUGUUGACGAAUCAUUACGUGGCUUAAAUGUACAACGCACAUAGUGUCGGUAUUGCAGAUGUACUUUGCCUAGCUAUUCAAUCAUUUUUACGUAUCAGAGCCAUUUCUUUAGGUCAGUGUUUAUGAUUCUACAUUUUGUAUGAGAGUAUUAUUUUGCAAUGUUUUUUUUGGACUACUCCAGCAAUCAUCCAAAAUUGCUUGCGC